rnacentral:rRNA from 1 species
CCUACGGGAGGCAGCAGUGAGGAAUAUUGGUCAAUGGACGAGAGUCUGAACCAGCCAAGUAGCGUGAAGGAUGACUGCCCUAUGGGUUGUAAACCUCUUUUAUAUGGGAAUAAAACAGGGUAUGCAUACACUCAUGUAUGUACCAUAUGAAUAAGGAUCGGCUAACUCCGUGCCAGCAGCCGCGGUAAUACGGAGGAGCCGAGCGUUAUCCGGAUUUAUUGGGUUUAAAGGGAGCGUAGGUGGAUUGUUAAGUCAGUUGUGAAAGUAUGCGGCUCAACCGUAAAAUUGCAGUUGAAACUGGCAGUCUUGAGUACAGUAGAGGUGGGCGGAAUUCGUGGUGUAGCGGUGAAAUGCGUAGAUAUCACGAAGAACUCCGAUUGCGAAGGCAGCUCACUGGACUGCAACUGACACUGAUGCUCGAAAGUGUGGGUAGCAAACAGGAUUAGAUACCCGGGUAGUC